AGUACAUGCAGAUAAAGUUAUUUAUAUCCUUUGGGGCCUCCUAUGAAAAUAUGGAACCAUCAGCAUUAGAAGUCAGAUUCCAGAUGCUCUUUGUUUAUUAAUAUUCAUGGCCCUAAUUCAGAUACAUGUUUUUUUGUCCUGAAUUUUUGAAAGCACUUUCCAUUCUCCCCACCUCUAAAGCAUUUGUGAAAUAUAAAACACCAUUGUUUUUAUACUUAUAUCAUUGGAAACCUUUCACGAUAAGAUCUAACAUCUCUUUUGCAUUCUUAUUUCUCAGUACACUCAUUUUUCCAUUUCCUACAUAGACUUGCCAAUAAGACUAUGCAGAUGUAACUGAACAUGUUUUGUUUUUUAUAUGCAUGUAUUUAGUUAUAUGGUACUGUUUCCUAAAAGGACAUUUCUCCCUCUCCUGCUAUUGUCAAGUCUGUCCAUUUAGGUCAAAAUCAAAUCUCUCUGGUUAUGUUUUUUUCCUCUAUAUACUUGCGUUCCAUUUAUAUUUCAAUAAAUCGUGUGUCUUUCUUGGUCCUGUGUUAUUAUUAUUUAUGUGCAUAUCUCUCUUCCACUGUCCAGAACUUCACUCAGAAAUAUUUAAUAUAUAUCUAAAUUGUGGGCCAUGCUCUUUUGAAAGGAAAUUUGGAAACAAAAUAGAACACAACUGAACUCUGUGCUCAUAGAGUUUAUAUUGAAUUUAGUGGGUCAACAGCCAAACAUAUAAACAUGAGAUGUGAUCAUAAAAAUUAUAUGAAAUAUUAUAGACAAAGAGAAGAAAAAGUCCCUAAAUUUACCUGCAUGAGUAAAGGAAGUACUUACUAAUGAUAGGUUAUUAUAAAACUGAGACUUUAAGAAUGAAGAGAAAUUUACUAAUCAGACAAAAAUGAGGAAAGACUCCUAGAAGAUAAACAGAUAAAUUGGGAGAAUUAGAGUGUUGGAUGUAUUCAAGGGUAACGUCAAGUUUCAGGUGCUUAGAGAGGAACUGCGGUAGGAAUCAGGUCAUAAGAAACCUUUUCUGUCCCACUAAGUCUUAUAAGGAAUAGGAACCAACUGAAGACAGCUGCACAGAGAUUUGCUUAUCUGAAAUACUGCCUAGGCAGUGGUGUAGAGAGAGCAUUGUUUGGAGUGUAUUAGACUUGAGAAGGAGUGUGAAUAUAGACGAUUUGAUUGCUUCUGUGGUUCAGAUGAGACAUGAUUAAAUAAUGAACCAUGGCAGUGGCCUUGAACAUGGAGAAGGGAGGCAGGUUUGAGGGUAGAAAGAGUAGUUAGUGAGUUCCCUUCUGACUAGCACCCAUGAGGACACAGGUUCGAUCCCAGGCCUCACUCCCUGGGUUAAGGAUACGGCAUUGCCACGAGCUGUGGUGUAGGUUGCAGACUUGGCUCAGAUCCCAUGUUGCUAUUGUUGUUAAGUAGGCCAGCUGCUACAGUCCCUAUUUGACACCUAGCCUGGGAACCUCCGUAUGCCAUGGCUGAGGCCCUAAAAAAAAAGACAAAUAAAUAAAUAAAAUAAAAUAAAAUAAAAUAAAUAAAUAAAUAAAAAUAGAAUAAUGAAAGAGUAGUUGGUAGACAUGGCAGGAUUUUGUGGCUGCCUAUCUACAGGAAUUGAAACUAAGCAGGACCCCGUGAAGCUCCUGGCUUAUACAUGGUUUAACUUAAAGUGUACUGACCAAAGCGGCCUGGUUUGUGGCCUUUCAGACAUGCAUUGUACAUCUGCUUUGGCCGUUGAGGAGGGGAAUGACUGUGAAAGCCAAGAAGGAAAAACUAUAUUUAUGACAUCCAAGGUCUAACCAGGUGGCCACUGUGGAUGUGAUUUCUGAUACAUUCUCGUAUUGUUAAGAACAUGAGUAUUCUGGGCUCUGUCGGAGGGAUGCCACUAGCCAUUCUCGGAACAAAAACGGUGUCUGCUGGUAGCCGAUAGCUACCACCUUACAUUUUCAAGGUCUCGUCUCAUAACUAUUAAUUUUUUUUUUCAGACAGUGAAAUUGCUUUCAGAACAGAUAUUAGCAGAAAGAGGAGGCAUAAGCAUUGUCUUUCUGUACCCCCAUUUCACAUUUUUAGGUAGUGGCCUCAUUCAAUCUCCAUGACCUUCCCUGAAUUCCAAAGGGCAAGUUCAAACAUUCCUUAAUCAGGGAAGGGAGGGGAUGCAGAGACCUGGGAGGAGCAGUCAAAAAACAAUGGUGCAGCCUUGGAGUAGGGUCCUGGGUUUUCUGCAAGUAAUAUACAUAACGAUAUCUUUGAGCCCUUCUGAGGAGCUAAAACCCCCAACUAAUGGAAGAUGUUAACUACUAAAGGAAGCAUUUUUCAUUCCAGAAAAGAAGACCACCAGAACCAGUCUUGGGGCCACUAAACACCAGCUUUGAAAGACAAAGCAAGCUUGCCUCUACCCUGAUCCCGACCUACAGCCUUAUUUCUACUCCCAAAACUAUAAAACCAACUCCUACUCUCUCCUAAGGGAGACACAGUCUUUAAGGCAUUAGUCUGCUGUGGCCGCCUUUGCCUGCCAAACAAUAAAGCUAUCUUUUUUCCCUCUACCCAGAACUCCAUCUCCAUGUUUGUAUUUAGCACUGGCGGACAGAGGCCAAGUUUUAGCAACACAAUAAAAGCUGUUUUUUUCUCCUUCACUCGAAACUGUCUCCACAUUUCUAUAUAGCACCAGUGGACAGAGGCCAAGUUUUGGCAACAGAAUGAGAGCGGAGUAGGUUGAAAGCUCUCUCAAGUUUUGACUAGGGUAGCUAGAGAAGUUGCCUUUCCUUUCACCAAAACAGGAGAUGGGAGAAGAAAGGCUGAUCAAAAAAGCCAGAGAGUGAAGUUGUUUUAGGACAGGCUGAGCUUGAGGUACAUUUAGAACUUUUUGUUGAGUGGUCCAAUUUAGAGUUGGAGGGAUCAUUGAAGAGCUUGAGAGAGACAAUGAGAGAACUCAAGAAAGUAUUAAAUUGUUGAUUCAGAAAUUGGAAACAACACAGGUAAUUAAAAUAGUGACAUGGGAUGGGGUGCCCAGCCUAAGAUUAUGGAGAGAAAAGGAUCAAAGAACACUGAAAACUCUCAACAUAUAAAGAAAAAAGGUAAUUUAUGAUUCAGUUAAAAAAAAAAAAAAGGCUAAGGAGGAGGUUUCAGAGGAGUGUGGUAUACAGUAGAGAAAGGAGAAAGUUUUCAAUGGCAUCACAUGCUAGUACAGUAACAAAUAGUAUCCUUGGGAAGUUCCUGAGAGGGCAAGGACCUGAGAAAUGAAGAAGUAGCAACAUUGAGUAUUGUGUUCUUUUUAACAAAGAACUAGUACCUGAUAGGACAACAGUGAAAAACAAAUGCAGUACUACUGAGUAUUUUAUUUUUAUGUAUUUUACAGUGAGAUCUCAAGUAUGCAUAUAUAACUAGGGGAACGAUCCAGUGAAAAGCACUUAAAACUUACUUGAGCAAGAGGGUACUUGAUAGAAGUCAUUUUCAGUCAAGAUGACUUGUAGGUUUUAGAAAGAAAAGGUGAUAGAAUAGCAUUUUUAUGGAAAAAGGCAAGAUUUUAGAUGAAGAAGUGAUACAUAGUUGUUUUCCCUGUGAAUUAGGAAACCAGGUCAUGUACUAUGAUAUAGUGAAAGGAAGGUGUUGAAGAAAAGGAUACCUAUUUGAAAUAAUUGCUGUUUGAAAUAAUUACUGUGCAGAUUUGGAGGAUUUGACCAAGUGCACUUUGCAGGAUGUCCGAGCAGUGCUCAGGACCCAGUUGCAGAGAUAAAGAAUAGUUUGAUGCAGAUUUGAGAAAUUUAAGCUUAAAUAAAAUUGAAGUAUAUGAGGAAGGGAUGUGGAGGUGAUACCAUAAAUGUUAGGAAGUAAUGAACCACGAGGCCUUGAAGCCAGGAGCAUAUGCGAAAGCCUUAGAAGUGGGUGGUAAGUUCAGGAAAAUGAGACUUUCUGUUUGGCUAAAGCAGAGGUGUGUUGUUCUCAAACCGAUCAGAAUCAUCAGAAUAUCAUACGAAGAGUGCCGGUUUUUUAGGAUACCUCCACAGGUUUUAGGGUGAAUAUUUGGACCUUUCAUUUUUAAACCAACCCAGAUAAUGAUUCAGGUCUUCAAAAAUCAGUUAGAAAACAAACACUGGGAAACAAUGUCACUGGAGAACAAACAUUGAGAAUGAGUCUGAAAAGGUAAAUGAGGGUUGUAUUGUCAUGAAACUUGAACAUUUUGUGCUGAGGAAUGGAAAAUUCUUCCUUCAGAAAAUAUGUUAGACCAAGGAAUUUAUCAAAAAUCUCCAAGAACUAAUACGUGAGUUCAGAAAGAUUGCAGGAUACAAGAUCAACACACAAAAAUCAAUCACAUUUCUAUACACUGACAAUGAACACAUGGAAAUGAAAAUUAAAAACUAGGUACCAUUGGCAGUCACCCUAAAGAAAUGGCAAACCCAACUAUAUACUUGACAAAGUAUGUACAGAAGCUAUAUGCUCAAAAUGACAAAAUACUGAUGAAAGAAAUAAAAGAAAACCUUAAUAGAUAGACAUGUGGUAUUCACAGAUUGAAAGAGACAAUAUGAUAAAGAUGCCAGUUUUCCCCACAUUGAUCUGCAAAUAUAAUGCAGUUACAGUCAAAAUCCUAGCUUGAUUUUUGUAGACCUACUCAAGCUUAUCUUAAAUGUAUGUUGAAAAGUAUAGGUUCUAGAACAGCUAAAGCAAUUUUGUUUUUGUUUGUUUGUUUGUUUGUCUGUUUUUUUGUCUUUUCUGGGGCUGCUCCCACCACAUAUAGAGGUUCCCAGGCUAGGGGUCUAAUCGGAGCUGUAGCUGUCACCAGCCUAUGCCAGAGCCACAGCAAUGUGGAUCCAAGCCACGUCUGUGACCUACACCACAGCUCAUGGCAACGCUGGAUCCUUAACCCACUGAGCAAGGCCAGGGAUCGAACCCAAAACCUCAUGGUUCCCAGAUGGAUUCGUUAACCACUGAGCAAUGACAGGAACUUCAAGAACAGCUAAAGCAAUAUUGAAAAAGAAGAAUCAAGUAGAAGAAUUGCUCUACCCAAUAUUAAGACUUUCUGUAUAGUUCCAGUCAUCAAAAGAGUGUGGUCAUGGUAGAGAAACUGACACUUAGACCAUUAGAAUUCAGUAGAGAACUGAGAAAUAGACACAUACAUGAAUGACCAAGUAAUUUUAUAGCAAAGCUGCACACCAAUUCAGUAGAGAGAAUUUUCAACAAAUCGUGAGAAAUUUGUUGAAAAUUCCCACAGGGAGAAAAAAAAAGAAAAAA
rnacentral:lncRNA from 1 species